rnacentral:misc_RNA from 1 species
GAUGAAGAACGUAGCGAAAUGCGAUACGUAGUGUGAAUUGCAGAUUUCAGUGAAUCAUCGAAUCUUUGAACGCACAUUGCGCCCGCUAGUAUUCUGGCGGGCAUGCCUGUUCGAGCGUCAUUUCAACCAUCAAGCCCUAGGCUUGCGUUGGAGCCCUGCGGCUGCCGCAGGCUCCCAAAUCCAGUGGCGGGCUCGUCGUCGUACCGAGUGCAGUAAACAUCCUCGCUCAGGGAACGUGACGGGUUCUUGCCGUGAAACCCCCCACAUAUCAAGGUUGACCUCGGAUCAGGUAGGAAUACCCGCUGAACUUAAGCAUAUCAAUAAGCGGAGGA